GACGAACGCUGGCGGCGUGCUUAAUACAUGCAAGUCGAGCGAACAGACGAUGCUUUUGCUCUACUGACGUUACCGGCGGACGGGUGAGUAACACGUGGUUAACCCACCAAUUAGACUUGGACAACGGCGGGAAACCGGAGCUAAUACCGGAUAAUAUAUUUAAUGGCAUGGUUCAAUAGUGAUUUCGGGUUUUGCUGUGCUUUAUACAUGGAUCCGCGCUGCAUUGGCAAGUUGGUAAGGUAACGGCUUACCAAGGCCAGGAUGCGUAGCCGACCUGAGAGCGUGAUCGCCGACACUGGAACUGGGACGCGGUCCAGACUCCUACGGGAGGCAGCGGUAGGGAAGCUUCCGCGAUGGGCGGAAGCCUGACGGAGCAGCGCCGCGUGAGUGAUGAGAGUCUUCGGAUCGUAAGACUCUGUUAUUAGUGAAGAACACAUUUGUAAGUAACUAUGCACGUCUUGACGGUACCUAAACAGGAAGCCACGGCUAACUACGUG
rnacentral:rRNA from 1 species